GUGUACGGGAGUGCGAAAUCCUUCUCGAAAUUCUUCAUCCACGUCCAAAGUGUAAAAAUAGGCUCCUCCAGAACCUUAUUGCCAUCAAAAAUGCCAUUUGAAAAGAUUAUUUUAUUCUGAUGCUGCCACACCGACCAUGUGAAGGCCAGCCACUAGCACCGCCAUCUAUUAUCACCUUUUCAGUUAGGCACACAUGUCGCAUGCUGGGAGAAGUGUUGCCAAGGUUUAUGUGGGAAAGCUCCAAGAGUGUUAGCCCAAGACAUGGAUUCCCACCAUAGGGGAAGAAUUCUAUCACAGAGAAAAAAUAAAUGUGCUUCAUUCUCCUCUGAUCUUCCGCAGAAUGAGCAUAAUAUGUCAUUAAGUGCCACCUGUCUCCUCCUCAAGUUUGACUUUGUUUGUAAUCUUUCUUUUAGUAGCCUCCAUGCAAAGGUAGUAAUUUUAGGUGGGACCUUAAUCUUCCAGAGUUCCUCAAACACCCGCACAUUAUCCCCCUCCACAUCCUCACCUUGUAACACACCAUAGGCACUUCUAACUGAAUAUUGUCCGCUUGAUUCUGGUUUCCAAAUCCACUCAUCCCUGCAGUGAGGCAGGAUACGUAUUCCAGCAACAUCAGUUAGAAAGCAAUCAGCCAUGGCCAACUCACUAUCAAAAAGGUGUCUUCUCCACUUAAAAUUCCACUCCCACUCAUUGUCCGCCUGUUGUCCCAUCUGCUGCAUAGUAUGGUUCUGCUGACAGGAAAUUAAAUACAGUUUGGAAUAUUUUGCUAAAAGUGUUGCCUCCUUGACCCCAGUUGUCCUCCCAAAAGUUGACUUUAUUUUCGUUCCCCACCUUACAUGCUAUGUUUUCCUGUAAAACAGUUUGGUGUUGGGGAUGAUGAAGUGCUAAUUUUAGAUCUGCCCACCAUAAGGAUGUGUUAUUGUCGCUUGUUGCUGCAUCAAGACCCCUCCACCCUCCAUAUUUUGAAUCCAGAAUCUUUGCCCAUAGUUCUCCAUUGUGAUGGAAUAAAUUCCAUUUUUAUUUGGCAAGCAAUGCAAGGUUAAAUUUGGUGAUUUGUCUUUAGGGAGGCAUACCGUUUCCCACUUCACCCACGCAAUCUCCCCACAGAAAAUUUCUCUGUAUGCGAAUUAGUUUUUCCACCACCCUUCUAGGGAUCUUGAAAAAUGACAAAAAAUAAGUUGGAAUUGAAGUUAGGAUCGACUGAAUAAGAGUGACUCUCCCCCCCCCCCCAAGGAUAUAUUUCUCUGUUUCCACUUUGCUAGUCUCCUCUCACACUUUUGAAUGAUCAAAUCCCACGUCUGACACUUCCUCGAGUUUGCCCCUAUAGUUAUACCCAGGUAAACAAAAGGAAUAGUCAAUAAGCUACAAUUCAAGAAAUUUGCUGCAUUUUGCUUCCACGAUUCAGGCAUGCCAAUAGCUUCGAAGUUGCUUUUAGCAAAAUUUAUUUUAAGGCCAGAUACCAUUUCAAAAGCUCUCAAUAUGGCCUUGAUUGCUUUAAUGUUCUCCACUGACGCCUCCACAAAGAAAAUGGUAUCGUCCGCAUACUGUAAAAUGUUAACAUCCACUUUAUCUUUUCCCACUGAACCUGUGUAUAGUCUUCUAUCAAUAACUUCCCUCAUCAAUCCUUUUAGCCUUCUGCUACAAUGUUGAAGAGAAACGGCGCAAGGGGAUCACCUUGCCUUAGUCCUCUAGUGGGUGUAAACUCCUUCAUUGGGCUCCCAUUCACUAGUAUCGAGAUGGACGCAGAGGUUAAACAACCUUCAAUCCACCGAAUCCAUCUAUGGCAAAAACCCAUUCUUCUCAUCAUGUAGAAUAAGAAAUUCCAUGAAAUCGAAUCAUACGCCUUUUCAUAAUCUACCUUGAACACCAUGCAAGGCUUUUUCCUCCUCCUAGCUUCCUCAACUACCUCGUUUGCAAUUAGGACACCAUGUAGUAAGUGUUUACCUUCAAUGAAUGCAAACUGUCUACCAUCUAUAAUGGAUGACAUCACCUUCUUUAUUCUUUUAGCUAAGAGCUUGCUGACAAUCUUGUAAGUACAACCUAUUAAUGAAAUAAGUUUGACAACUCUUGUGGGUCACCUUAGGGAUCAAAGCUAUGAAUGAUGCAUUACCUCCCUUGGGAAAGAUCCCGUUUAUGUGGAAUUCAUCAAGGAAACGAAGGACGUCAGGCUUGAUGAUUUUCCAAAAUUUCUUAAUGAACUUGAAAUUAAGACCGUCCGAACCAGGACUUUUAUCACUUCCACAUUCCCAAACAGCCUCUCUCACCUCCUCCUCCCUAAAACUCCCUGUCAAUAUGUCGUUCUGUUGUUGAUUUAGUGUCUGAAACCUAAUUCCCUCAAGAGUGAGUCUGAUAAGCACUGGUUCAUGAAAUCUUUUUUGAAAGAAAUCUUUGACUACCUCCUUCACCUUUUGGGGUUCAUCCACCCAUCCACCUUCACUCAUGAUGCCUUUCAGUAAAUUAUGUCUGCGAGAGGCAUUCAUCAUUAGAUGAAAAUACCUUGAGUUGCAGUCGCCUUCUUUAAUCCAUCUAGAGCGAGCUUUUUGCCUUAGUAAGGACUCGUGUGAGUGGUUAACCACCCACAAAUUUGCCUGUAGCUGCCUUCUAACCCUUGUCUCCUGGGAUGAAAGUUGUGUAUCCAUUGUCAUCUCUUCAAAUCUGUUCAAUUCAUCUUGGAUCCGCUUGACCUUCUUGAAUGUGUCCCCAAAUUUCUCCCUAUUCCAUACCUUUGAGUAAAGAGUGUAAUUCAAAGGACGUGUGUCCUACUAACUCUUUUCCAAAGCAGGUUUCUUCUUUGUUGCUAGAUUUUGAAGAUGUCUUUCCCAAAGAAGUACCUCAAGGUCUACCUCCUCUUAGGGGCAUUGAGCAUGAAAUUGAUCUCAGUCCAGGAGCUUCAUUGCCUAAUAGGCCAGCCUAUCGGAGCAAUCCCCAAGAAACCAAGGAGAUUCAAAAGCAAGUUGAAGACUUGAUGUAAAAGGGGUGGGUUAAUGAAAGCUUGAGUCCAUGUGCAGUUCUAGUCAUUCUAGUCCCUAAGCAAUAUGGAACUUUGAGGAGGUGGAGAGAUUAUAGAGCCAUCAAUAACAUCACGGUAAAGUAUAGACAUCUCAUUCCUAGGUUAGAUGACUUAUUGGAUGAAUUGUAUGGUGCUUGUGUCUUCUCCAAAAUUGACUUGAAAAGUGGAUAUCAUCAAAUUAGAAUUAGAGAAGGAGAUGAGUGGAAAACAACCUUUAAAACUAAAUAUGGGUUGUAAGAAUGGUUGGUUAUGCCCUUUGGGUUAACCAAUACUUCUAGUACCUUCAUGAGAUUAAUGUAUCAUGUGUUGAGGAAAUUUAUAGGAAAGUUUGUUAUGGUCUAUUUUGAUGAUAUUCUUAUAUAUAGCAAAUCUUAUGAUGGCCAUGUUGCAUUUGAAGUGUGUUUUGGAAGCACUUAGGUGUGAGAAAUUGUAUACUAACAUGGACAAAUGUGUUCUAUAUGGACCAUGUCAUUUUUCUUGGAUUUAUUGCUAGCUCACAAGGAGUGCAGGUUGAUCCAUCGAAGGUGAAAGCCAUUCAAGAUUGGCCAACCCCCAAAAAUAUAAGUGAGGUAAGGAGCUUUCAUGGCUUAGCAAGUUUCUAUAGAAGGUUUGUUAGAAUUUUUUGCACUUUGGCUACACCUCUAAAUGAAAUUGUUAAGAAAAAUGUUGUUUUUGAAUGGGGUGAUCAACAAGAGAAGGCUUUUAUUGCUUUGAAAGAAAAGUUAACUAAUGCUCAUGUUCUUGCUUUGCCUAAUUUUGCUAAAUUCUUUGAGCUUGAAUGUGAUGCAUCUGGGGUAGGCAUAGGGGUUAUGUUGAUGCAAAAGAGGCAUCCCAUUGCAUAUUUCAGUGAGAAACUGAAUGGGACUGCUCUUAGUUAUUCUACAUAUGAUAAGGAAUUGUAUGCCUUAAUUAGAGCUUUGCAUACUGGGCAGCAUUAUCUCUUGCCCAAGGAAUUUGUUAUUCAUAGGGAUCAUGAGUUUUGAAAUACUUGAAUGGACAAGGAAAGCUGAACAAGAGGCAUGCCAAGUGGGUCGAAUUUCUUGAGCAAUUCCCCUAUGUGAUCAGGCACAAAAAAGGUUUGCCUCGGCCUAAGGGAGGAAAGGACUCGAUUUUUGUGGUGGUUGACAGGUUAUCUAAGAUGGCUUACUUCAUAGCCUACAAGAAGGUAGAUGACGUUUUUCAUGUUGUUGAUUUGUUCUUCAAAGAGGUGGUAAGAAUGCAUGGUUUACCUAGGUGUACUAUAAGUGGCCGAGAUUCCAAAAUUUCUUAAUCAUUUUUGGUGGACUUUGUGGGGGUAAGACUAGAACUAAAUUGUUGUUUUCAACUACAUGUCAUCCCCAAACUGAUGGGCAAACUAAGGUGGUCAAUAGAACUCUUUCUACUCUUCUUGGAGCCAUCAUUAAGAAAAAUCUUAGGACUUGAGAAGAGUGUUUACCACAUGUUGAAUUUGCUUUUGAUAGGGUUGUACAUAGUACUACUCAGAUGUCACCCUUUGAAAUUAUUUACAGUUUUAAUCCUUUGACUCCUUUGGAUUUGUUGCCUUUACCUAACAUUUCUCAAUUUAAAGAUAAGUUUGGGCAGGUUAAAGCAGAAUAUGUCAAGAAGUUGCAUGAGAAAACCAAGGCCCAAAUUGAGAAGAAAAUAGAAAGGUAUACAAAGUAUGCAAACAAAGGAAGGAAAAAGGUAACAUUUGAACCAGGUGCCUCGGUAUGGGUGCAUUUAAGGAAAGAGCGGUUCCUUUCUCGAAGGAAGUCAAAUCAUAUGAUUAAGUUGAUUUGAGAGCAAAUGCUUUUCAAGAAUGAGGGAAUGAUGAGGACAUCAAAGACCAGAUCCAAGCCCAAAAGGAAGCCCAAGGCAUAGGAGGGCGCAUCACAAGAGCAAGAGCAAACAAGACCCAAGAAGCAUUGCAACAUAUAGUGGCUAAUAUGAGGGCAAACAAUAGUAUGAGGGGACCCAACAUCUAAAGGCCUGCCUACCUGGGUUGCUAGUCACAUGUAUUGCUUGCUUGGAGUGAGAACAAAAGACAAUUAUUAACUAAGGCAUUUAAUAAAAAAUAAUAAUAAUAAUAAAGUGCUUGUAGUUAGUUUUGAGACUUGGACCUCAAGCUUAAUUAUGUCUCACUUAACCACUAAGGCAUUUUAGUUAUGCUUCAAUGUUGAUAUUUUAUGUUUCUUUUAUUUUCUACCAAGUACAUGGGAACUGAUUUGUAUAAAUCAAUUGUGAAGUGAAUGGAUAGGGGCUUUUGGCUGGUUUUAUCAUUAAA